AGAUUAAGAAACUGGACAUCUGUCACCCCAUUGAUUGCCAGGGUUGAUUUGGCUGAUCUGCCUAGCUAGGCGGGUGUCCCCUUCCUCCCUCACCACUCUAUGUCCAUCCCUCCCAAAGCUGCACGCUCGGUUGAAGAGGACGGCCUUCCCCGAAUAGAGACGGACCAGUCUUCGGUCUUCGGGUAUAUGAAUAGCUGCGCUCCCCUGCUAGAACGCCCAAACAAGCUCUCAAGAAACAAUAUGUUACUGUCAACUGUAAAACAUUAAUCCCCCAAUAAAGACAUAAUUUUUUUU
ensembl:misc_RNA 7SK 7SK RNA